AUCUUGGAUCUUUCUGUGUUUUAGGCAAGGGAAGAAUUCUGUGAAGGAUGUACGGAGGAAGCUCUUGCAAAACUGCCCAAGUUGAAAGAUGUGGAAUCACCUAAAGUACCAUUAUCAGUUCUGUGGCGAACAUUUUUUUUAAAAAAGGACAAGAUUCAAGUGAAUCAAUGAAGAAAUAGAAUUCUUGCACCAGAUGGAUGAAAAAGAGGAGUCACGUAAACCUAAGAAAAACUGAGUUGAUUGUUUCAAGCACAUCCAGUAAGUUUAGAGGAGAGAGGUGGUUGGUCAGACGCACUGGUGAUGAAAGAAGCUGCAUCACAUUUUUCUGGGAUUGCUGGUCCAGAAAGGCAUCCACCAUCUCCUGAUGAAAUCAUCAACAUUUCCUGCGACGGCCCUGAGUUCAAGAACAGUGAUAGUUCGGUGGCCCCAUGCUUCUGCAGAGUCAUUUGCAAGAGUGAAACCAUCAUAAACCAUAAGAAACUUCGUUCACGGCCCGACCUGUUCAUACUACAACAUGCCCACGCCUGCAAGCUCCACUCUGAGCUCAAAAGACAAAAGUUGACAAGUUUGGACACCCCUGGCCUACAGGUUAAAGAACCUUUUUUCAAGUCACCACAGCAUGAUUGAUUUUUGUCUUAGUUUAUGUCCUUGCAAAGAAGGUCAUAAUGAUGGGACUCCAAAUUAUAACUUUAAAAAAAUGAACUAUGAUCUCAUAGCUGCCGGCCUCGCAUUCCUUGAUUGGCACCUUCUGUUCACAGGUUGUAAUACUGCAGAAGACCAUUAUACUACUUUUUUAAUCGAAGUCAAUAGUGUCAUUAACCUAUAUGUACCAAUAAUGCCUAAAGCAAAAAUAAAUAAAUUACCCAUAACAAUAAAAGCUACGAUCAAGAAAAAAUCUCUGGCAAGAAAACAAAAUUGGCUAUGUAGCUAAUUUUAAAAACCUCUAUAAAGCCUUAUGCCGCCAGAUAAAGGCAGAAUGUACCAAUCAUUGCAAACAGGAGGAAUCCACCUGAGCCUUCUAUAAUUUCAUAAAUGCCAAACUUAAAAGACUCGAAAACUCACCCUAAUUAAAAGGGCCUAAUGGGGAAGACUUAACAAUGAAGCUGUUAAAGGCCAACCUCUUCAGUAUGUUCUUCAGUUCAGUCUUUGUCAACAGCAAUGGCUAUUGCCCCAUAUUUCCUAGUCAUACCAUAACUAAUUGUUCACAAUUUAUUACAUAUUGAUUUUAUAGUAGAUAACACUGAAAUGGCACUACGUAACUUAAAGCCAUCUCUGUCUCUUGGCCCUGAUGGAUUAUGUGCCUACUUUUUAAAACAACAUGCCACUGCCAUAGCUAAGCCUCUACACAAUCUUUUAGGUAUCUUUCAGAACCAGCUCCUUGGCCAACCUAUGGUCAUUGGCCACAGUCUUUAAAAAGGGAGACCCUAAUCUAGUUGAAAAUUACAGACCAAUCUCAUUGUCUUGCAUCACCUGUAAAGUCAUGGGAUCAAUUAAACUAGUCCACCACUCUCCACUUAGAGACAAGCAACCUGCUUUCUAACAAGCAGUUAAAAAAUUGUCCUGUAAUCUGCAACUCCUACAUUGCAGAAUCAUUUGGAUCACUGCAGAAUCAUUUGGAUCACAUAUCUUGAUCAGGGUAAACAAUAGGCGCAAUUUACAUAGACUUCUGCAAAGCCUUUGAUUCAAUGUUGCAUGACAGACAUGUUAUAUAUUAUUAUCUGGACUUGCUGGGAUACCAUCUGGACUUGCCGAGAUAAACUGCCUGCCAUUCGUUGAGACUGUUAUGUUUUCACCAGUGGAACUUCUUGGUCUGCGAGACUCCCCCCUCACAGAUGUGGCCCUCCACUCUAUCGAGGGCCUACCUCGAUGACUGAGUUUGGAAUCCCGAGAACCAUGCUGCAAAGAAGGGAUUGAGGGGUUUUUUAAAAUUGUCUUUUAAAACUUUAAUUUUAAACAAUUCUAAUAAAGGGUUUUUAAGGGGAGGGAGGGCUAGGAUGGGUUUUGGGGGAAACCCGUUAGGGCCAUGGCUUGACCCUGCGAUGGUUCGCGGUAUAGAUGUUAUAGGUUCAGAGGUGAUGGAGGAGGCGGGAGCUCGAUCUAAAGAGGGCUAUUCCAUCUGCUCGGUAAAUGGGAGGGGCAGUGCAUGCUCGCUGUUUGAGAGUGAUAGCGCACUCCAGUCCCCCUGACUUCUCAUUCCCCGGGUGGCUUGAAUCCUCAGAGGCUGGGCCUUCAGCUGAUAUUAUGUAAUGCCAGGUCCAUGGUGAAUAAAGCCCCCCUCAUUUUUGAUCUUAUACAAGAGGGGGGAUGCGGAUCUGAUGGGCAUUUCAGAGACCUGGUUGGGCGUGGAAGGGGGGGUGCCCCUUGUUGAAAUGUGCCCACCAGGCUUCCGAGCAUUCCAUCAGCUGAGGGGCGGGGGGGGGCGGUUAUAAUUAAAAAAGGUCUUGAGCCGAAGGAGGUCACUAUUCCUCAGCCAGAUGCGAGUCCCUUUUGUGAAGUGGGGCCAAGGAGUACAGAUGGGCCUGCUGAUUACGUACCUGGCUCCUUGCUACCUGCCCGAGCUACUGGAUGCGAUAGCCGGGAUGGCGGUUGACACCCCCAGACUUAUGGUUAUGGGGGAUUUCAACCUGCUGACGGUGAAACAUCAGUCGUGGCUCGGGAGUUCAUGGCUUCCGUGACAGCCUUGGACCUGACCCAGUUAGUUAAUGGUCCCACUCACAUUGGGGGAAACACUCUGGAUCUGAUUUUAGUCUCUGGACAUUGGUUGAAUGAUCUAGAAGUAGGGGAUUUAGUUACCAAACCCCUGUCAUGGUCAGAUCAUUCACUCCUUCAACUCGAAUUUCGAACCGCCAACCCCCACCACAGGGAGACGGAGCCGACUAGCUGGUUCCGUCCCAGGCGCCAGAUGGACCCGGAGAGGUUUCUGAUGGAGCUUGGGCCAUUUCCUGAGGAUUUAGCUCACGGCUCGGCUGAAGAACUAUUGGCCGCCUGGGAAAGGGCGGCCAGUGAGGCUUUGGACCGCAUUGUGCCUUUACGGCCUCUGACCCAGCCGGUCUCAACUGGCUCCUUGGUAUUCUGAGGAGCUGAGAGAGAUGAAGCGCUGGAAAAGAUGCCUAGAGAGUGGUUGGAGGGCCAGUCGUUCCGAAUCCUAGUAAGGUCUCAUAUUCAGACCUGCUUAGUGGCGGUAAGAGCGGCAAAACGUAUUUUUCCAUUCUUAUUGCAUCGGCAGAGAAUUGCCCAGCCGCCCUGUUUAGGGUGACCCGCUCCCUCCUCCAUCUAGGAGCACGGGAGGACCCCUUGCAAGGGCGUGCUGAGGAUUUUGGAAAAUAUCUGCACGAAAAAAUCGCUCAGAUUCGGGAUGGUUUGGACUCUGUCUGGGUGGAUUCGGGCGGGAUGACGGAGAUAGGUCUUGAGGAUGUUAUCUGGGAAGAGUUCGAUACAGUUGUUUCUGAAGACAUGGACAGGAUACUGGGGAGGCUGAACGCGACCACAUGUUUAUUGGACCCGUGUCCCUCCUGGCUGGUAUUGACCACCCAGGAGGUUACACGAGGCUGGCUUCAGGGAAUUGUCAACGCUUCCUUGACAGAGGGUGUCUUCCCUCUCCUCAAGAAGCCCUCCCUGGAUCCAGCUGUUUUAGCGAACUAUCGUCCUGUCUCCAACCUUCGCUUUGUGGCGAAGGUUUUAGAGAGUGUGGUGGCGCGACAACUCCCACAGUACCUGGAUGAAACUGCCUAUCUCGACCCGUCUCAGUCUGGCUUCCGGCCUGGGUACAGCACGGAAACUGCAUUGGUCGCGUUGGUGGAUGAUCUCUGGAGGGCUCGGGACAGGGGCUGUUCCUCUGUCCUGAUCCUAUUAGAUCUUUCAGCGGCUUUCAAUACAUCGACCAUGGUAUUCUACUUCGACGGUUGGAGGGGUUAGGAGUGGGGGGCACCGUUCUGCGGUGGUUCUCCUAUCUUUCUGACCGGUUGCAGACGGUGUUGGCAGAAGGGCAGAGAUCGGCCGCGAGGCGCCUCUUAUGUGGGGUGCCACAGGGGUCAGUUUUCUCGCUUCUUCCGUUCAACAUCUAUGUGAAGCCACUAAGUGAGAUCAUCCGUGGUUUUGGGGUGUGAUGUCAUCUGUACGCUGACGAUACUCAGCUAUACAUUUCCACCUCAAACCAUCCCAACAAUGCCGUUGAAGUGAUGUCCCGGUGUCUGGAGGCCAUGCGGGUCUGGAUGGGGAGAAACAGGCUUCGACUCAACCCUUUCAAGACUGAGUGGCUAUGGAUGCUGGCGUCCCGGUAUAGCCAGCUGACGCCAUCGCUGGCUAUUGGGGGCGAGUCAUUGGCACCAUGGAGAGGGCUCGCAAUCUAGGCGUCCUCCUGGAUGUACAGCUGUCUUUAGAAGAGCAUAUGACGGCCGUUGCCAGGGGGGCUUUUUAUCAGGUUCGCCUGAUACGCCAGUUGUGUCCCUUUCUGGACCGGGAUUCCCUAUGCAUGGUCACUCAUGCUCUCAUCACUUCCUGCCUGGACUACUGUAACACUCUCUACAUGGAGCUCCCCUUGAAGAGCACCCGGAGGCUCCAACUGGUUCAGAACGCAGCCGCGCGGAUAAUAGUGGGAGCAACUCGAGGUUCCCAUGUAACACCUAUCCUGCCCGAGCUGCACUGGCUUCCGGUGGUCUUCCGGGUGCAAUUCAAGGUGUUGGUUAUCACCUUUAAAGCGCUCCAUGGUAUAGGACCGGGUUAUCUAUGAGAUCGUGUGCUGCGAUCAAUAGCCUCCCAUCGACCCGUGCGCUCCCAUAGAGGGAGUCUCCUCAGGGUGCCGUCGGUCAAACAAUGUAGACUGGCGACCCCCAGGGGGAGAGCCUUCUCUGGGGGCUCCUGCCCUUGGAAUGAACUGCCUCCGAGGUUACGUCAACUUCCUAAUCUCCAGACCUUUUGCCACGAGCUAAAGACCUUCCUGUUCAAUCUUGCAGGGCUGGCUUAAUGAAGUUUUUUAUUGGGGUUUUAAUAUAGUUUUAUUAUAAUUUUUUCAGUCUUUAAUUAGUUUUUAAAUGCUUUUUUAACUUUUUGAUUUGUACUUUUUACCAUGGCUGUAAACCGCCCUGAGUCCUUCGGGAGAAGGGCGGUAUAUAAAUUAAACAAAUAAAUAAAAAUAAAUAAAACUAAGUUCUAACACUAACAGCAUUGCGAAAAAAGCAUUAAGAAUUAUUAACCUCAUUGCAUAUAUUAAUUGGCAAGAUUAGUAUUUGUUCAAAAAUGGAAGUGUAAAGAAAUACCUUCAAAAAGAAGUAAGCAAAAUUUACAACUACAGAGAUGGACAGACUUUAGAACUCAAAAGACAAAAGUGAAUCAAGGUACUAUGAAGUCUGGAGUAAAUUCUAUGACUGGCUUGAUAGGAGGAAGAAUGUGAAAAAUGAGAUAAUGAAUGGGAAUGUAUAUAUCAAUGUAUAUUGUACUUGUGAGGGUAUAAUAGAUUUAUUAAAUGUGUAUAUAGCUAUAGGGGUAGUAAUAUAGCGUAUACUUGAUAUAUAAGCAAUUAAGAGAUAUGUAAAUUUGUAUAUAGACUGAGGAAUAUAUGAUUUAGUAAUUUAAACUUGACGUAAAUGUUAGAAAC